UACGGAGGGAGCUAGCGUUGUUCGGAAUUACUGGGCGUAAAGCGCACGUAGGCGGCUAUUCAAGUAAGAGGUGAAAGCCCGGGGCUCAACCCCGGAACUGCCUUUGAAACUAGAUAGCUAGAAUCUUGGAGAGGUCAGUGGAAUUCCGAGUGUAGAGGUGAAAUUCGUAGAUAUUCGGAAGAACACCAGUGGCGAAGGCGACUGACUGGACAAGUAUUGACGCUGAGGUGCGAAAGCGUGGGGAGCAAACAGG
rnacentral:rRNA from 1 species